AGAGAGAGACGGAGUGAAUAGACAGAGAGAAAGGGAGAGAAUAGACGGAGAGAGAGAGAGAGAGAUGGAGAGCAUAGAAGGAGAAAGAGAGAGAGAGAGGGGAUUAAGAGAGAAGAAAGUACUUUCUGGAAGAGGAAAAGCUCUGAUCAACCUAAUGGGGAUGCUGUUGUUGUCUCUCUGUCUCUACACCGACCUCGUCACUGGAGGCAUGACGAAGGCUGAUGAGAUCCAGAAUUAUGGCGGUGACACCACAAGCUGCUCUCUGGCUCCGGUGCAGCGUCUGGUGGCCUUGCUGGCUCAGGGGAACGGCAGCGAUGUGUCCCUCAGGGUUCAGAGUCCAGGGCUUUCAGCAGGGUCACCCAGUACAUGACUCAGAACCUGGCCAGCUCCUCUGGACACGCGGUGGAAAGGUACCAGUAUGCCCUUCAGACUGGAGAAGUGGCCCUGAGGGAACCUGUCCUGGAACCUGUCCUCCGUACUGCAGAGUGGGGAGUGGACCACCGUCAGCAUCGACCUGCUCAUGACCCUGCUGCAGCGUUUAGACCUCAUCUUGCAGGUACAGUAGGCCUACUCCUUGGUAGCCUGAUUGCCGAUCUGUUUACACUGUCUGACCGACUCCUUGUCAAUCAUUGUCACAUAAUUGUCUGUCUCAUCCGAGAUCUGUUUGUGUUGGCGAUACAGCACAAACAGACAUGGGAGCAGGCUAACUCCUGUGUAUUACUCCAUCUUAUGAUUAUGUACAGAACUAUUGAACAAUUUUGAACUGGUAUGUGUGUCUUUGUCUUUGCAAUGUGUAUAUAUACUGUAUUUAUUUAAUUACUUGUUACUUUUAUUUCUUAUUCUUAUUAUUUUGUUAUAACUGUAUUGUUGGUAAAGGACUUAUAAGUAGGCAUUUCACUGUAAGGUCUACUACACAUGUUGUAUUCAGCAUUUCACUGUAAGAUCUACACCUGUUCAGCAUUUCACUGUAAGGUCUACUACACCUGUUGUAUUUAGCAUUUCACUGUAAGAUCUACACCUGUUGUAUUAAGCGCAUGUGACUAAUAAACUUUGAUUUGAUUUAUGUAUUCCUGGCUAAAAAAUGAAUUCCCCUGAUCUGAAGGAACAAUAAAGUUUUAAAAUGUGACUUUGAAUUUCGGGGUGAGGUGUAGCUGUUCAUGGCGCUGGAGGCCUGGAUCAACCAGAACGAGCCUGAUUCUCUAACAGCGGAGAACGCUCUCAGAGCCGUCCGUCAUCAAAUCGUGAUUAGAUUCAUGGUCCUUUUGCUUUUUAAAAUUCAUAAUAGAUAACUAAUAUUA